GACGAACGCUGGCGGCGUGCCUAAUACAUGCAAGUUGAGCGCUGAAGGUUGGUACUUGUACCGACUGGAUGAGCAGCGAACGGGUGAGUAACGCGUGGGGAAUCUGCCUUUGAGCGGGGGACAACAUUUGGAAACGAAUGCUAAUACCGCAUAAAAACUUUAAACACAAGUUUUAAGUUUGAAAGAUGCAAUUGCAUCACUCAAAGAUGAUCCCGCGUUGUAUUAGCUAGUUGGUGAGGUAAAGGCUCACCAAGGCGAUGAUACAUAGCCGACCUGGGAGGGUGAUCGGCCACAUUGGGACUGAGACACGGCCCAAACUCCUACGGGAGGCAGCAGUAGGGAAUCUUCGGCAAUGGACGAAAGUCUGACCGAGCAACGCCGCGUGAGUGAAGAAGGUUUUCGGAUCGUAAAACUCUGUUGGUAGAGAAGAACGUUGGUGAGAGUGGAAAGCUCAUCAAGUGACGGUAACUACCCAGAAAGGGACGGCUAACUACGUGCCAGCAGCCGCAGUAC
rnacentral:rRNA from 1 species